GCCCACUUGACUUCGAAUUCCAGGAUGUCUGGCUUUAGCGCUCCCUCAGCCUGGGACAUCUCACCCCUUUCCCAUCUGCUGAGCAAACUUCAUGCAUCUUCAAGACUUGGCCGCUGUGACUUCUCUCAGACUCUCGGCCGCUGUGACUUCUCUCAGGCUCCUGUCACGCAAGGUCAGACGUGAAAUGCUCGGCGUCGCGCCCACGCAUGCCGUCCGUGGAGCAGCCUCUGUAACCCCCACAGCUCUGGGAGUCUGCGAGCAGGGGCCACGCCUGGUCUGCGUCCUCCUCAGCACAGCAGCAGGCGCUAUGUUGUCGGCAUGAGUGAAGAUGGCUGCGGAUGCCUGGGACGCCCAGAAGCCCAACAGAACAGAGACUGACUGUGUGACUACAGAUGUCCUCAGGAGGGAGAGGAGCCAAGGAGACUCCCGCGUCCACAAAUGCUCCCUGCCCUAAAUCGAAUGCUAUCGUUCCACCGUGUGACCUUGCCACAACUCACUCAGUUCUGUCAUUUACAGACAUGAGCUGACAGUAUCAUAAGAACUAUGAUGAUGCCGACAGCUGACAUACGAAGACUUUACUAUGUGACAGGCACCAGGCGUGGAUAAAUUGGCUUAAUGCUAACAACCUAAUGAGGCCGGCACUCCUCUUCACCUUACAGAUGUGAAACAAGGCACAAUGAACUUAAGCAACAGGUCAGAAUCUGCACCUGCUGGCCAGCGGUCAAACUCGGUAACGCUGAUGCCAGAGCCGUAUUCAUACCCAAAACAUGCUUCUGAGGUAGGAAGCUGAUGCCAUGAUUAACCAAAACAUGAUCAAAAUAGAAAAGGCCUAAGUAAGCCAUAAGGAAAAUUAUAAACACACCAUCUAAAUUGCUCAUUUUCAACAAAAUCUCACAGUAUAAAAAUAAUAUGUGAAAUAUUUUGGUCAUUUUUCUCUUCCUCCUCACUUGAAGAUACUGAACUUCUGGGUCUGUAAUGUUCUUCUGCAUUCUUUUUACUACCCGUUCCUUUUUCUCAUUAAACUAUACCUCUGUCAAUUAUCCAGUUCUUUAAAAGAAAACCUUAAUCCACAUUACUGCUUUUUCUUCUGUAAAGCACA